CAGAGUUCGUGCCCUCGCGGGUAGAUCUCCCACCCUUGUGUAUUCCUUACAUUUGUUGCUUUGGCAGGCCGUUGGUUCGCCAACCACCGGCUCUACGGGCUGGUGCGUGCCUGCCAGAGGACCCCCCAAACUCGGUUUGUUAGUGUCGUCUGAGUACCAUAACAAUCGUUA
rnacentral:misc_RNA from 1 species